UCUGCAUUGGGAAUACAAGGUCAUGUGAUGCUGGUUCUGGUCACCUCAGCUUUGAUUUAAACAGCCAGGUGAUGCUUGGAGUGGACAACUUGAGACGGGUCAAAAAGCAAGUCUGUACCUCAAUUGCUGCAUAAUUCCGGUAUUUCCAAGGCGUUGUUUACCAAAACACAUCUAAAUGACCUGAAAAACCAGCUGAACCAGAUAAAGAAGACUGGCUUGCUGACCAGCCUCCUGUGCUGAUGAAGAGCCUGGUCAUACACCAUCAUAGGGUCUGACCUUUCCACCGCCGGCCCUUGAGAACCUGGCCCUUGGGUUUGCCUGUGGUCUCCAGGUCCAGAUUGAGAGAAGAAGGUCCUCUGAUGGCUCAAAAAGCUUCUGGUGGACUUCUCCAGCUCUGCCAGGCCUGUUUGGCAGAUGGCACAACCCAUCAAUAGGCACAGCUGCAGCCCAGACCCUAACAAGCCUGGCAUAAGUGUUCAUGCUCAUGCCCAGGUGUCAUAAAGUGUAACAGGGGGAAGAUGGCCUGAAUUUCAGGCUAAUUGAUGUUAAUGCACCAUCUGCUGAACAAUGCAGCAGACAGAACCAGACAAAAGACUCUCUGGACUGAGGGAACAUCAACGUUGUGGGGUCAAAAUGGGAGGGGCCUAUAUAUAUAUAUAUGUGUGUGUGUGUGUGUGAAAAUAUAAAUACUGUUUAAUUUUUAUACUUGUGUGUCCUAAAGUCUUAACUUUAAACAUGCAAACUUCCUUUCUGUUUACUUAUAACUUAAAAUCUACAUAGUUAAUUUUCUAUGCAGCCCAUAUUUGACACUAGCUAGAUUAUUUUACCUCUUUACCUACCUGUGACCUUUGCAAGCUCUGUAUACGCUAUUUUAUAUAAACAUAGCAACACACACAAGCUUUUGUUUCUGAAACAGCUGGAGAGCGUCCGUGUUUUUCUCUGGGGAGUUUGGGGGAGGUACGACUGACACCUCACACAUAAUAGUGAUCCAAUAAAAACAGGGGGCAAGGAUGGGCCAGUCGAUGUGUGUCAAGGGGGGUGACCGGGUACACGAUUGAUCUAGUAAAGUUUGAAAUAUACAUUAAGUGACAAACCUUAUUUCAUCAUGAAACUGUCACAUGAUGUCACCAGUUGUUAUUCUCUAUGCGUUCCUAUGCAAUUGAAAUCUUCAUAAUAUCCAUCUCA